UCGCAGGCAGAGCAGCCUCGAAGGGUAUAUUCUUGUCCCUGGCCGCUUUCUCUUUCUCUGCUUCCUGGCUGCCAUCAGGUAGAGCUUUUCUGCACUGCAUCUUUCUACCACAAUGUUUCUUGUCUUGGAGCCAGCUAACCACGGACUGACACCUCUGAAACCUACAGGUGUUGAAUAUCCAGGUGAAAAGAUGUCAACAGCGCUGCCAGCAUAUUUAAAAACAAUGGAGACUUAACCAGGGAACCACCAACAGUCAUGUGGACUUCAGAAGAAAUGUCCAGUGGUACAGGCACUGAAUUUUGGGCUAUAAUCUACAAAGACAUGGUUGCUUCAGAGGUCAGAACAAGAACCCUGAGGAAUCUCGACAGACCUUUAACCUUGCCCUGUUAUACGUGUAGAAAUCAGGGUAAGGUCGGGGUGCAUGAGAUAAAGAAGCCACAUUCUAUUUAGCUGAAAUUUUCUUCCUGUAUUCCUUGGGAAAGCAGUAAAU